rnacentral:rRNA from 1 species
CUGGCUCAGGACGGACGCUGGCGGCACGCUUAACACAUGCAAGUCAACGGGUCAUUGAGCUUGCUUGAUAGACUAGUGGCGACGGGUGAGUAACACGUGAGCAACCUGCCUUCAAGCGAGGAAUAAUGAGUGGAAACGCUCUGUAAUACCUCACAACGUAUUUUUACCGCAUGAUAGGAAUACCAAAGAUUUAUCACUUGAAGAUGGGCUCGCGUCCGAUUAGCUAGUUGGUGAGGUAACGGCUCACCAAGGCGACGAUCGGUAGCCGUACUGAGAGGUAGAUCGGCCACAUUGGGACUGAGACACGGCCCAGACUCCUACGGGAGGCAGCAGUGGGGAAUAUUGCACAAUGGAGGAAACUCUGAUGCCAGCGAUGCCGCGUGAGCGAAGAAGGCCUUUUGGUUGUAAAGCUCUGUUAUCAGGGACGAAAAUGACGGUACCUGAGGAGGAAGCUCCGGCUAACUACGUGCCAGCCGCCGC